AAAACAUCUUUGCAUCCGCCACCCUGAAUUGUUGUGUGUUUUAAUUCAAUCCCUCUUCCCUAACCUUUCGCUUUCUUCCUCAACCAAGCGACUUCGGACUUCCUGACCACCGCAGAUAAGCAAGCGACCAUCGGCAAGAUGUGCCAAAAUCCCUUCCUUUCCAUCUCAAGUUCGAAUCGAAAUCUAAUCUCGUCUUCUCCCUAAUUUCAGGCGCACUGGUCCAGUUGUUGUAGGUUAGGGUUUGACCUCGCCAUUGUAGCAGCGAUCUAUGGCAUUACCGUCCACACAGAAGAGGCACUAGAGAGAUGUGAACGAAGCCAUGUCUCCCUGCUGCCAUGGGGAGCCCUUCGCGCCGCUGCAGCAGGUAUGACCAGCAUAGUAUCUUUGUAGCUAUUUGCUUCCAUGGCACAUCCUCAGAUGAUUAGAGAAUCUGUCGCCGUGGGUGUCUAUCGGCAACAUAGCGCAUCUAAUUAUUUCCACGAGCCCAUCGUCAAUAGCAAGGACGGCACCGACAGACAAAGAGCAUCGGUGGGUGAAAUUUCAGAUAAGAUAUUAUGGGAACCGCAGGUAUAACAUCAGUGAUGCAACUCCAAAUUCUGCAGGUUAGCCACCACCCUGAAUUGCCCCCAAAUCCUAAUCUAAAUUAGUUCGCUUAAUCUUAAAUCCCAAAGUCGAAUUUUGAAUUCAAUUGGUUAUCUGUUAUUGAAAUAACUGUUAAAUCAUCCUGACAACGCAUCAAGAUGGACCACUAUUGGUAGGGUAAGGACACCGGAGUUCCUUUCAACGAUUAUAAUUUUACAUUAUCUUAUUUCUUUUUACUAUUGUGGGAACACACCUGUACGCAUCUUCAGAAACCUUGCUCUUAUGAUCUUAUAUCAAGUCUCAUUUUACACAACAGUAUUUUGUUGAUAUUGUGAAGUUAAUGGCAUCACAAUUAAUUCUGAGAAGCUAUGGAUACCUUGUACGAACAGCAGGAUGACUUGUCCGUAAGUUCUUUGUUUCUUUUUUAUUACUAAUAUUUAACCUGUAGGAGCAAAACCCUCCUAUUUCCUCAAAAACAAAAACAGGAAGAUGACUCGAUCAUAGGCUUCAUUUUUGAAACCUUAGCCUUGAUUUCAUACAUCACAUGUACCCAGUUUGACAUAACAUAGCUGACGGAAUUAUUGGGCCACAUAAUCAUGAGAAAACUGGCUGAGCAUUAAAACAUCGAUAGUCUACAUCACAUUUUUGUUCUUUGCAGAGGUGCUGCCCUCAAAUGGCUCUGACAAUCAAACCAAAUGGUGGUCUUAAUCAAGAACGAGUUUCUGUAAGUAACAGGGUUAUUAUUUUUGAACAGACAAAUCCUCAUGGUUUUGAGUAGAUAUACGCGACUGUCUUACAUGGAGGUACAAUUCCUUAUGCAUUUUUAGUGCACCAAUAAGCCAAUUUGAGCAGUCAUGUUAGUGCCACACUUUACUCAGUCUUGCUUGUUUUCAUCAAUAGUUUUAUUACGAAAAUGAGGGAAACAGGUAACAGCCUUGAGUUCUUUUCCAGAAAAGAAAAUGCUACUCCCUCCCUUCCUAUGUAAACGACUUAAGAAUAUCUUGGUUGUCACUUGAUGGUUGUCCUUUUGCUUCACCUGAACUUUGGUGGCAUUAACUUUUUUCUAACAUUAAUUAUUGAUAAAUAUGUUGAUUCGAUUACAGAUUCAGUUAUAUUUUGUUGGGCCGUCCGAGGACAGUAUAACAUGUCUUUAAUUUCAACUGUCAUCUCAACAAAAGAUGGCUGGCAGGGAGCAUCAAGAAAAUAUCAUCUUUAAUUUUGAUGAUCUUCUUAAAGAUGGCAAACGGGAGCAUCAGGAAAAAUUGUGAAACUUUCCAGUCAACACAAGAUUAACUAUUUCGAGAAUUGCUGCAAGAUGCACAUGAUGAAGAUAUGCCUAGCUACAAGAUGAAUGCCAUUGACUUUGAAGGAUGCAUAGUGGGUUGUCGUUGCUGUUAGGAUACACUCAUGUUUUCUUUGUGUGCGUGAUGAUAUAACAGAGGUGCUUCAUGGUAGCACUUUUUUUUUUGUUGUGUAUGUAUGAUUGUAAGAGUAUAUGUACAUAUUGCAAUUUUAUCAAUUCAAAUGGAUAUAUGAAUUAUGAAGUCAUGUUCA